rnacentral:rRNA from 1 species
UACGUAUGGAGCAAGCGUUAUCCGGAUUUACUGGGUGUAAAGGGAGCGUAGGCGGUACGGCAAGUCAGAAGUGAAAUGCCGGGGCUCAACCCCGGAACUGCUUUUGAAACUGUCGAACUAGAUUGCAGGAGAGGUAAGUGGAAUUCCUAGUGUAGCGGUGAAAUGCGUAGAUAUUAGGAGGAACACCAGUGGCGAAGGCGGCUUACUGGACUGUAAAUGACGCUGAGGCUCGAAAGCGUGGGGAGCAAACAGG